rnacentral:rRNA from 1 species
UGGGGAAUAUUGCACAAUGGGGGAAACCCUGAUGCAGCGACGCCGCGUGAGCGAAGAAGGCCUUCGGGUCGUAAAGCUCUUUUAUGAGGGAAGAUAAUGACGGUACCUCAAGAAAAAGCCCCGGCUAACUACGUGCCAGCAGCCGCGGUAAUACGUAGGGGGCUAGCGUUGUCCGGAAUCACUGGGCGUAAAGGGUUCGCAGGCGGUUUUUUAAGUCAGGUGUCAAAGCGUGGAGCUUAACUCCAUUAAGCACUUGAAACUGAAAGACUUGAGUGAAGGAGAGGAAAGUGGAAUUCCUAGUGUAGCGGUGAAAUGCGUAGAUAUUAGGAGGAAUACCGGUGGCGAAGGCGACUUUCUGGACUUUUACUGACGCUCAGGUACGAAAGCGUGGGGAGCAAACAGG